rnacentral:rRNA from 1 species
AACGAACGCUGGCGGCAUGCCUAACACAUGCAAGUCGAACGAAGCCUUCGGGCUUAGUGGCGCACGGGUGCGUAACGCGUGGGAAUCUGCCCCUUGCUUCGGAAUAACAGUUAGAAAUGACUGCUAAUACCGGAUGAAGUCUUCGGACCAAAGAUUUAUCGGCAAGGGAUGAGCCCGCGUAGGAUUAGGUAGUUGGUGGGGUAAAGGCCUACCAAGCCGACGAUCCUUAGCUGGUCUGAGAGGAUGAUCAGCCACACUGGGACUGAGACACGGCCCAGACUCCUACGGGAGGCAGCAGUGGGGAAUAUUGGACAAUGGACGCAAGUCUGAUCCGGCAAUGCCGCGUGAGUGAUGAAGGCCUUAGGGUUGUAAAGCUCUUUUACCAGGGAUGAUAAUGACAGUACCUGGAGAAUAAGCUCCGGCUAACUCCGUG